AGAGUUUGAUCAUGGCUCAGAACGAACGCUGGCGGCAGGCCUAACACAUGCAAGUCGAGCGGGGGAGCAAUCCCUAGCGGCGGACGGGUGAGUAACGCGUGGGAACGUACCCUUUGCUUCGGAAUAGCCUCGGGAAACUGGGAGUAAUACCGUAUAAGCCCUAUGGGGGAAAGAUUUAUCGGGAAGGGAUCGGCCCGCGUUGGAUUAGGUAGUUGGUGGGGUAAUGGCCUACCAAGCCGACGAUCCAUAGCUGGUUUGAGAGGAUGAUCAGCCACACUGGGACUGAGACACGGCCCAGACUCCUACGGGAGGCAGCAGUGGGGAAUCUUAGACAAUGGGCGCAAGCCUGAUCUAGCCAUGCCGCGUGAGCGAUGAAGGCCUUAGGGUUGUAAAGCUCUUUCAGUGGGGAAGAUAAUGACUGUACCCACAGAAGAAGCCCCGGCUAACUCCGUG
rnacentral:rRNA from 1 species